AACGAACGCUGGCGGCGUGCCUAACACAUGCAAGUCGAACGCUGAAGCUUGGGUGCUUGCAUCUGGGUGGAUGAGUGGCGAACGGGUGAGUAAUACGUGAGUAACCUGCCCUUGACUCUGGGAUAAGCCUGGGAAACUGGGUCUAAUACUGGAUACUCCAUUCUCUCGCAUGGGGGUGUGGGGAAAGGGUUUUAUUGGUUUUGGAUGGGCUCACGGCCUACCAGCUUGUUGGUGGGUUAAUGGCCUACCAAGGCGACGACGGGUAGCCGGCCUGAGAGGGUGACCGGCCACACUGGGACUGAGACAUGGCCCAGACUCCUACGGGAGGCAGCAGUGGGGAAUAUUGCACAAUGGGCGAAAGCCUGAUGCAGCGACGCCGCGUGAGGGAUGACGGCCUUCGGGUUGUAAACCUCUUUCAGCACGGAAGAAGCGAAAGUGACGGUACGUGCAGAAGAAGCGCCGGCUAACUACGUGCCAGCCGCCGCGGUAAUAC
rnacentral:rRNA from 1 species